UAAAUGUGUCACUUUUUUAUUGGUUACGUUUUGUUUUGUUUUUUUGUUUUUUUUGUUUUUAUCUUCGACAAAAUCAAAACGAUCGAAACUUUGAUGGAAACUUUGAUGAUGAUGAUUUGAUCUAUAUUGGUGAUGAUUACCCGAUCUAUAUUGUUCAAAGCUGGUGAAAAGGUUUUGUUGAAACUGGUUAACAAGAAAGACUUUCACAUGGCGUCAAGGAAUCAGGAGAAUUCUUCUCUCCCAGAGUGCAAGAGUUUUACGACCUCUGCAAGGGGACUUUCACUGGCAAAGCUCCUUCUCCUGCUUCCAUGGCUGUCCAAAAACUAUGCUCUGUUUUGGACUCAGUUAGUCCUGCAGAUGUUGGGCUUCAAGAGGAAGCUCAAGACGAUGAUCGAGGCUAUGGAGUUUCUGGGGUUAGCCGCUUUAAUAGAGUAGGACGAUGGGCACAACCGAUAACAUUCUUAGACAUGCAUAAAUGUGAUACUUUACAGUAAGCCUUUUAUUGAUACAAGCGAACGAAGAGCUUGUUAAUAUGUAUGAGAAGCGACUUGGUGACGCUGUUUAUCUCAGUUACAAGCUUGGCCGUACUAAUAACCGUGGCGAUGGUUUGCUUGCGGCUGUUCAUAAGGAUUAUUUUAGAGUUGUGAACUCGAGGGAUUGUACAUGUUUGAUGGUUCUCUUUGGCUAUUGAUGGUUCUCUUUGGCUAUUGCUUCAUUAAGGUUGGGAGUGCAUUCUGUUUUUGGCCAUAAGAUUAUGUCUAGAAAACGUUAAACAAUGGCAAGGUGAAAAUGUUGUUACCUCCAAAUCCUAGUUCCUUACUUCAAAUGGACUUAUUGGCUUGCAGGAUAAAACGGGAAGCAGCAAAGGAGCAAUGAUAGUAGAGGAAUGGGACAAGCAUCUAGGAAUAUUCUGGCAACUAAAAUUAAAUCUAAUGGUGGAUGGUAACUGUUGCUCAGUUCAAACAGCCUUAAUGUAAUUUGCUUCAGUUCUUCAUAUUCUUCUUAUUCUCCUCUUUCUUCUUGUCCACUUUCCUCUGUUUCUCUACUUAAAAACAUUUUUAAUAAAAAUUAUAUACGACACCCAUAUUUAGGGAUGACUAA